GACGAACGCUGGCGGCGUGCUUAACACAUGCAAGUCGAACGGAAAGGCCCUGCUUUUGUGGGGUGCUCGAGUGGCGAACGGGUGAGUAACACGUGAGUAACCUGCCAUUGACUUUGGGAUAACUUCAGGAAACUGGGGCUAAUACCGGAUAGGAGCUCCUGCUGCAUGGUGGGGGUUGGAAAGUUUCGGCGGUUGGGGAUGGACUCGCGGCUUAUCAGCUUGUUGGUGGGGUAGUGGCUUACCAAGGCUUUGACGGGUAGCCGGCCUGAGAGGGUGACCGGCCACAUUGGGACUGAGAUACGGCCCAGACUCCUACGGGAGGCAGCAGUGGGGAAUAUUGCACAAUGGGCGGAAGCCUGGUGCAGCAACGCCGCGUGCGGGAUGACGGCCUUCGGGUUGUAAACCGCUUUCGCCUGUGACGAAGCGUGAGUGACGGUAAUGGGUAAAGAAGCACCGGCUAACUACGUG
rnacentral:rRNA from 1 species